AUUGAACGCUGGCGGCAGGCUUAACACAUGCAAGUCGAGCGGAGAUGAGGUGCUUGCACCUUAUCUUAGCGGCGGACGGGUGAGUAAUGCUUAGGAAUCUGCCUAUUAGGGGGGGACAACAUUACGAAAGGAAUGCUAAUACCGCAUACGUCCUACGGGAGAAAGCAGGGGAUAGUCGGACCUUGCGCUAGUAGAUGAGCCUAGGUCGGGUUAGCUAGUUGGUGGGGUAAGGGCCUACCAAGGGGACGAUCUGUAGCGGGUCUGAGAGGAUGGUCCGCCACACUGGGACUGAGACACGGCCCAGACUCCUACGGGAGGCAGCAGUGGGGAAUAUUGGACAAUGGGGGGAACCCUGAUCCAGCCACGCCGCGUGUGUGAAGAAGGCCCUAUGGUUGUAAAGCACUUUAAGCGAGGAGGAGGCUACUGAGACUAAUACUCUUGGAUAGUGGACGUUACUCGCAGAAUAAGCACCGGCUAACUCUGUGCCAGCAGCCGCCGUAAAAC
rnacentral:rRNA from 1 species